CCAAAGACUGCGAAAUUCGUCAGUGACAGGGCUCCCGAAAAUUAUUGAAUAUGGACAUUUGCUGCUCUGACACCUACUGCUUUGUACAGAGAAGCCUCGGUAGAGCCACAGCCCGGGUGCACAGAUAAACGCAGAAAACCAACCGGAAGGCGGAAACAGGCGGCCGAAAAGCACGGGCUGCCCGACCACGGACGAAAACUCAAAGGAGAGAUGGUUACACUGCAUCGCCAGCUUGCCUCAUCUGAAUCCCUGACUCCUGACCUCCCCUGAGGAAGGUGCUCACUGUCAGAAGAACCCCCAGCAUCCUACCGCCACAGAAAGGUGAUUCCUUUAAAGCGGAAGAAACGGAUGAGGGAGCGAGGGGGCUGCGUGAGGCGGGCAGACGGGGAGGGGAGCUGUCGCUUGUGUCAG